rnacentral:rRNA from 1 species
UACGGAGGAUCCAAGCGUUAUCCGGAAUCAUUGGGUUUAAAGGGUCCGUAGGCGGCCCUGUAAGUCAGCGGUGAAAUCUCCCGGCUCAACCGGGAAACUGCCGUUGAUACUGCAGGGCUUGAAUUGCAGGGAAGUGGCUAGAAUAUGUAGUGUAGCGGUGAAAUGCUUAGAGAUUACAUGGAAUACCGAUUGCGAAGGCAGGCCACUACCUGCGGAUUGACGCUGAUGGACGAAAGCGUGGGGAGCGAACAGGA